UAAACGAAAAAAAUAAUAAAGAUGGGAUGAAGAGUUUCUCGCGGAAACGGAGAUAAAAUUUUAAAAAUCGAGCUGUACCAUCCCGUUGACAUUCCGAAUUAGAAGCGUGCAGCAUCCAUCAGCCCAGAAAAGCGAGUGGCUGGGUAUGAUUGUAAUUUUCUGGAGGAGAGGCAAAAACUCACUUCAAAAGCGCAGCACUUCCAAUUUAGUUCAUCGCACGUGCAGUGCAGUGGAGGGCAUCAGAUAAAGGCUGAGGCUCAUCCACAUACGUGUCCUACUUCUCUUUCUCCUCCCCCAUAUUCUCAAAAGUCAAAACAUGGAUCCUCCUUCUUUUUUAGAGGAAUUACUUUCUUUUAGUUUUCGUUGUGGACUUCCCAACUCCUAAAUUCCUAAUAUUAGUCAAAUUAAUGCCUCUUUUCUUCAUCACACAAAUUAAUUAAUUCUUAUUCCCCACCAGGACUUCUACUUCUACUUGUGUGAUACAACUCUCUUUUCCUUUCUGGGCUUUUUUUUUUUGGCAACUGGCAAUUGCUUCUUCACUUGGAAUGUAACUAGUUUUGUUUUAUGUCUAUGUUCCCAUUCCACCAACCCCGUUAGCCAUUGCUGAUGGAGAGCAGUGAUACUGAUACUGAUAUUAUUACCACCCACAAGGAUUAUUACAAAGUUUUGGAGGUUGAUUAUGAUGCAACUGAUGAGAAGAUCAGAUUAAAUUAUCGAAGGCUUGCACUAAAGUGGCAUCCUGACAAGCACAUGGGUGAUAGUAAUGUGACAUCAAAGUUUCAAGAGAUCAGCGAAGCUUACAAAGUGCUAAUUGAUCCUGCUAAGCGGAUUGAGUAUGAUUUGACUGGAAUUUAUGAGAUUGAUAAGUAUAGUCUGCGGGAAUAUCUUGGGAGAUUUAAAGGAAUGAUACUUACAUGCAAUGGGCUUGGUAUCGAUCAUAAUACAUCAGCAUGUUGCAGGAAUCGACAACUCGUACGACUGGGAAGUAAUGAAUACGAGGAUAAAUAUAAAUAAAGAGGUUUGGUCCUUGGUGACAAUAAUUUGUGCACUCCACUCCGAUGAGCAAGAGCUAGCUUGAGCCUGAGCCUGAGCCUGAGCCAGAGCCAGAGCCAGAGCCUACCACAUUUUACUUGGUGGGAAAGAAGAAACAAGCAUUUAUAAGUGAACAACCUGAAGGUGUUAGUUUUUGUGGAAAGCUUUCAUUUUUGUGGAAAGCUUUCAACUCCUCCAUUCAUCUUGCGGUGGUACUGGUAGUGGUACCUACAUGUACAUGAUCAAUCACUGUCUCUGCAAAGCAGAUUACAUAAAUCAUUUUAGUUGGCGAUUUUGUAAUCUGCUUUCCAAAAAUAAAAUAUGAGGGGUUUGCGGGAAGAGGCUAGUGGUAUUUUGUUGUCC